rnacentral:rRNA from 1 species
CAGGAUGAACGCUGGCGGCGUGCCUAACACAUGCAAGUCGAACGGAGUUCUUAAGGAAUGCGACUUCGGUCAAAUGACUUUUGAACUUAGUGGCGGACGGGUGAGUAACGCGUGAGCAACCUGCCUUUCAGAGGGGGAUAACAUUUGGAAACAGAUGCUAAUACCGCAUAAGAUUACAGUACCGCAUGAUACAGUGAUCAAAGGAGCAAUCCGCUGAAAGAUGGGCUCGCGUCCGAUUAGAUAGUUGGUGAGGUAACGGCUCACCAAGUCGACGAUCGGUAGCCGGACUGAGAGGUUGAACGGCCACAUUGGGACUGAGACACGGCCCAGACUCCUACGGGAGGCAGCAGUGGGGAAUAUUGCACAAUGGGCGAAAGCCUGAUGCAGCAACGCCGCGUGAGGGAAGACGGUUUUCGGAUUGUAAACCUCUGUUUUCGGUGACGAACAAAUGACGGUAACCGAGUAGGAAGCCACGGCUAACUACGUGCCAGCAGCCGCGGUAAUACGUAGGUGGCAAGCGUUAUCCGGAAUUACUGGGUGUAAAGGGAGCGCAGGCGGGAUAGCAAGUCAGCUGUGAAAACUAUGGGCUCAACCCAUAAAUUGCAGUUGAAACUGUUAUUCUUGAGUGGAGUAGAGGCAAGCGGAAUUCCGAGUGUAGCGGUGAAAUGCGUAGAUAUUCGGAGGAACACCAGUGGCGAAGGCGGCUUGCUGGGCUCUAACUGACGCUGAGGCUCGAAAGUGUGGGGAGCAAACAGGAUUAGAUACCCUGGUAGUCCACACUGUAAACGA